CCCUUAGAUGUUCUGGGCCGCACGCGUGCUGCACUGAGUGGAUCAGCGGGUCAGGUUGCGCGAAAGCGUUUCCUAAUCUUUAAAUCCGCUCGUGAUGGGGAUUGACGGUUGCAAUUUUCUGUCAUGAACGAGGAAUACCUUGUAAGCGCGGGUCAUCAUCCCGCGCUGAAUACGUCCCUGCCCUUUGUACACACCGCCCGUCGCUCCUACCGAUUGAGUGGUUUAGUGAGAUCCUUGGAUCGGCCCUGUCGCGGCUGGCAACGGCCGCGUCGGCGCGUCGAGAAGACGAUCAAACUUGAUCAUUUAGAGGAAGUAAAAGUCGUAACA
rnacentral:rRNA from 1 species